AUGGAGGUCAACGGUCGUCACAAGCCUACAAGAGAGUAUAUCGACAGAGGGUGCAAUGGUGUAAAAUCGCCCAAUAAUUUCGGCGAAGUUGAUCCCUGGACCGCGUGGGCGUACAGACCACGGACCAUCUCGUUGUUACUCAUGGGAACCUGCUUUUUAAUUUGGGCAAGUGGUGCUCUUAAUCCAGAAGGAAGCUUCUCUGCUGACCGUGUCUCAUCUGUAAAAAGGGGUGUCUUUGCGAUGAUUGCUGUUUUCUUGGCUUAUUCUUUUCUUCAGGCACCUUCAACUGUGCUCAUCAGACCACAUCCUGCAAUUUGGCGGCUGGUCCAUGGGAUGGCAGUUGUUUACCUUGUGGCCCUCACAUUUUUGCUUUUCCAGACUCGUGAUGAUGCUAGGCAGUUCAUGAAGUACCUUCACCCUGACCUUGGUGUUGAAUUACCUGAAAGAUCCUAUGGAACCGACUGCCGUAUAUAUGUACCUGAUCAUCCGAAAAGCAGGUUUAACAAUGUUUAUGACAUCCUUUUUGACGAGUUUGUUAUUGCCCAUAUCCUUGGAUGGUGGGGAAAGGCUAUAAUGAUACGAAACCAACCACUUCUAUGGGUGUUAUCAAUUGGCUUUGAGUUAAUGGAGCUAACUUUUCGACAUAUGUUGCCAAAUUUUAACGAAUGCUGGUGGGAUAGCAUUGUUCUAGACAUAUUGAUCUGCAAUUGGUUUGGUAUCUGGGCUGGUAUGAAGACUGUGAGAUAUUUUGAUGGGAGGACAUAUGAAUGGGUUGGCUUGAGUCGCCAGCCCAAUAUUAUGAGUAAGGUGAAAAGGACACUAGGUCAGUUCACACCAGCACAGUGGGACAAGGAUGAGUGGUACCCUCUGCUCGGCCCUUGGAGAUUCAUCCAAGUGCUAAGCCUGUGCGUAAUUUUCAUGACCAUCGAACUUAACACAUUCUUUCUUAAGUUCUGCCUCUGGAUUCCUCCCCGGAAUCCCUUGAUUGUCUACCGACUGGUCCUUUGGUGGUUGAUUGCGAUACCAACCAUCCGCGAAUACAACACCUAUUUGCAGGACAGGAACUCUGUGAAGAAGGUGGGGUCUUUCUGUUGGCUUUCGCUGGCUAUAUGCAUCAUAGAGCUUCUGAUCUGCAUCAAGUUUGGCCAUGGUCUCUUCCCGAAGUCGAUGCCGUCGUGGCUGAUCAUAUUCUGGACGACGGUGGCCACGCUUCUCACGAUGUUCCUUUUUGUGUGGACAUGGAAAAUUUACCGAACAAUGAUUAGAAAAAGGUUGUGA
rnacentral:rRNA from 1 species